GACGAACGCUGGCGGCGUGCUUAACACAUGCAAGUCGAACGGUGAAGCGCCUUCCUUUUUGGUGGGUGUGGAUGAGUGGCGAACGGGUGAGUAACACGUGAGUAACCUGCCCCCUGCUUCUGGAUAACCGCAUGAAAGUGUGGCUAAUACGGGAUAUUCUGGGUCUGUCGCAUGAUGGGUCUGGGAAAGAUAUUGUUUCGGUGGGGGAUGGGCUCGCGGCCUAUCAGCUUGUUGGUGGGGUGAUGGCCUACCAAGGCGGUGACGGGUAGCCGGCCUGAGAGGGUGGACGGUCACACUGGGACUGAGACACGGCCCAGACUCCUACGGGAGGCAGCAGUGGGGAAUAUUGCACAAUGGGCGCAAGCCUGAUGCAGCGACGCCGCGUGAGGGAUGGAGGCCUUCGGGUUGUGAACCUCUUUCGCCAGUGAAGCAGGCCUGCCUCGUUUGUGGGUGGGUUGACGGUAGCUGGAUAAGAAGCGCCGGCUAACUACGUG
rnacentral:rRNA from 1 species